AUACGGAGGGUGCAAGCGUUACUCGGAAUCACAGGGCGUAAAGCGCGCGCAGGCGGCUUGAUAAGUUGGAUGUGAAAGCCUACGGCUCAACCGUAGAACUGCAUCCAAAACUGUCAGUCUAGAGUGUGGGAGAGGAAGAUGGAAUUAGUUGUGUAGGGGUAAAAUCCGUAGAGAUAACUAGGAAUACCAAAAGCGAAGGCAAUCUUCUGGAACACUACUGACGCUGAGGCGCGAAGGCGUGGGGAGCAAACAGGAUUAGAAACCCCGGUAGUCC
rnacentral:rRNA from 1 species